rnacentral:rRNA from 1 species
UGGCUCAGAUUGAACGCUGGCGGCAGGCCUAACACAUGCAAGUCGAGCGGAUGAGAAGAGCUUGCUCUUCGAUUCAGCGGCGGACGGGUGAGUAAUGCCUAGGAAUCUGCCUGGUAGUGGGGGACAACGUUUCGAAAGGAACGCUAAUACCGCAUACGUCCUACGGGAGAAAGCAGGGGACCUUCGGGCCUUGCGCUAUCAGAUGAGCCUAGGUCGGAUUAGCUAGUUGGUGAGGUAAUGGCUCACCAAGGCGACGAUCCGUAACUGGUCUGAGAGGAUGAUCAGUCACACUGGAACUGAGACACGGUCCAGACUCCUACGGGAGGCAGCAGUGGGGAAUAUUGGACAAUGGGCGAAAGCCUGAUCCAGCCAUGCCGCGUGUGUGAAGAAGGUCUUCGGAUUGUAAAGCACUUUAAGUUGGGAGGAAGGGCAGUAAGCGAAUACCUUGCUGUUUUGACGUUACCGACAGAAUAAGCACCGGCUAACUCUGUGCCAGCAGCCGCGGUAAUACAGAGGGUGCAAGCGUUAAUCGGAAUUACUGGGCGUAAAGCGCGCGUAGGUGGUUUGUUAAGUUGGAUGUGAAAGCCCCGGGCUCAACCUGGGAACUGCAUCCAAAACUGGCAAGCUAGAGUACAGUAGAGGGUGGUGGAAUUUCCUGUGUAGCGGUGAAAUGCGUAGAUAUAGGAAGGAACACCAGUGGCGAAGGCGACCACCUGGACUGAUACUGACACUGAGGUGCGAAAGCGUGGGGAGCAAACAGGA